AACAUAGCUCAAAUGGUAGAGCGACUGACUUUUAAUCAGAGGGUCACUGGUUCGAGCCCAGUUGUUC
rnacentral:tRNA from 1 species